rnacentral:misc_RNA from 1 species
GUAGGAUAUAGCGAGAUGGAAGCUCCCUUAUGUUCAUUAUCUGAAAAACUUUCAAGGCAUGUCUACACAGCACACCUUCAAACUCAAACAUUUUACAACUGCAACUGAUGUUAAGAUUGGAGGCAUUGAAGGCAACUGUAUGCCUCUCAUCUCCAUUUCCACACUUCUGCACCAGAUACCUACUAAUGGCACCUUCAACAUUUAUCUUAAUUCCAACAUAACUAUAGCACUCCAAAAGCUCUUUCUGGAACACUUUGAACAUGGUAAUAGUGUAAAGCCUUCUACACUGGUCCUCUAUAGGGUCCUUUGUGUGCAGAACUGCUUGCAAAUUGAAUGAGUUAAAAUCCUCUUUUCUUUCCUCUUCACGAC